rnacentral:rRNA from 1 species
UCGAGAAUUUUUCUCAAUGGGGGAAACCCUGAAGGAGCGACGCCGCGUGGGGGAUGAAUGGCUUCGGCCCGUAAACCCCUGUCAUUUGCGAACAAACCUUUCGGUUUAAUAUGCCGAAAGCUGAUAGUAGCGAAAGAGGAAGGGACGGCUAACUCUGUGCCAGCAGCCGCGGUAAUACAGAGGUCCCAAGCGUUGUUCGGAUUCACUGGGCGUAAAGGGUGCGUAGGUGGUAGGGUAAGUUUGACGUGAA